CACUUGUUAGAAUCAAUAUUAAUAAUUUCAGAAUUAAUAUUUCAGUAUAAAAUUUAUAUUUUUGAUCGUAUUGAAAUAUAAAUAAGUUUUAUACAAAUAAGAUAAUUUCUAUUCAAUAUUUGUAAAAAUUAGAAUAUCAUGUAAUUGUCACUGAAGAGAGAGAAAAAAAUUAUUUCGAAAUAGUUAUACUUUAUAACUUACAACGAAAUACCUUUCUGCUCAUCUCGAAAUAAAAUGAUCCGUUUAGUCCGUGGAACAAUGUUACGCUGAAACACGCUUGCGCCGAGUACUAUACUGCGCCGAUCCAAAUUGCAAGAUGUAUAUUUUCUUUUAAUGCUAAUCUUUUCCGUAAGACUCUAUUUUUAAUGUAGCGCGACAUUAGCGAAAGUAGUGAAAUUACAGCACCUUUCGCUUCUCACCGCAUAACUAUAGAAAAUUGCUAAAUUAUAUGAUAUCUAGUAGGAAUUUCACAGAAAAAAAGAAAAUUCAGGAUAUUUAGUAAUAAGCCAAGUUCUAUUCGAAGCAUUUGCGACAUUUUCAUUCGUAAACAUACUCCAUCCAUCGUGCAAAAUGGUUUUUCUUGGCGAGCGCUAUUACAAUAUUUAUCGGAUAAUGUUGACGAUCAUCGGCUUGUGGCCGUAUCAGUCGUCGAUCAUUGUGCAAGUACAGACAGCGUUCUUCUUCGGUGCAUAUAGUACCUUUCUCUUUUCUCAGUUAACAAUAUUUUUAACGACAACUUGCAGCUUGGAAGUUAUUAUUAAAGAGUUGUCAUAUAUUUUUAUCACUAUGCUGUAUAUUAUCUGCUAUAACUCUUUUUAUUUUAAUGCUAAAGAAAUAAAGCAAUUAUUGGAACAAAUCAAAUUAGACUGGAAUACAAUCGAAGAUAAAGAUGAAAUUAAGAUAUUGGAGAAGUACGCCGUUGAAAAUCGUCUUCUUUCAAUGAUUUUGAUUAUUCUUUUUAGCUUUUCUAUAUUUUUUCUUCUUAUUGUCGAACUGAUACCGGUUAUUCUGGACACUGUUGUACCGAUAAAUGAAUCUCGACAACGCAAAUUACAAAUCGACUUUGAAUUUUUUAUCGACGAAGAAAAAUAUUUUUAUGUUUAUUUAAUACAUGAAAUCACAGUGGUAUUGAUCGGUGUUUUUACGAUGCUUGCAACGGGAACAUUACCAAUUGCAUUCUUUAGACACUGUUGUGCAAUUUGUAAAAUCUCCAGUAAUUUAAUUGAGAAUACUGUGACUAAGCAAACUCUUCAAGUUUCUUCUCACCGGAAAAUAUAUAUAAUGUAUCAAAAAAUUAGUCGUGCUGUUCAUCUCCACAGAAAAUCUAUUCAGUUAACCAAAUUCUUUAUGAAAACUAUGAACAAAUGGUAUUUUGUUUUGCUGAUGAUCUGCGCAGCAUCUUUAAGUUGCAAUCUUCUUCGACUACUAAAUGCGGCAACAGUGUUAAAUGAAUUUUCCGAAUUAAUAAUUUGUUUCGGUACAGUAAUGGGCCAUUUUCUAACUAUGUUCAUACCUAAUUUCAUUGGACAAUCAUUUAUCGAUCACCAUGGAGAGAUGUUUUAUGCUGCAAUGUUUAUAUUAUAAUGUUAGAUGUAAUAUACGAGGGUAGGUUGAACAAUUUUCGGCCUGACGAAGAAAACGCACAUGAUUUUUAGCUUUUUUUUAUUUUUCAACAUAAUCCUCUUUCAGCUCAAUACACUUAUUCCAACGAUAUUUUAACUUUUUUAUGCCAUCUGUACGAUUUCUCUAAACCUUCAAAAUGAGCAUUAGUUUCAUCGAUUACUUCAGUAUUUGAGACAAAUCUUUUUCCAGCGAGCCAUUUCUCCAUGUUUGAAAGAGGAAUAAAGUCACGGGGGGCUAUGGUGAAUAUGGUGUGUACAAAAUCAACCCGACACGCAAUUUAUGCAAUUUUGCGAUUGCAAUUGAAGAAGAGUGAGCUGGUGCAUGAUGAUGGAAAAGCACUUUUUUUUCUUUGCCAAAUAAGGACGUUUGGUUUUAAUAACAUCGUUCAAUUGAUCCAGUAAUACUCUCCGUUGAUGGUUUUUGCUUUUUUCCAGAUAAUCGAUGAGUUCAAUACCAUGAAAAUCUCAAAAAGUCGCCAUCCUUUCCGGCUGAUGGAACUAUUUUCGCCUUCUUUGGAACAUUUCCACCUGCUUCUACCUAUUGUUUUGAUUGUUGUUCCAUUUCUGGUGUGUAAUGGUGAAUCCGUUUCAUCAACAGUGAAAAAGCACUGAAAAACAUUAGUUGGAUUGCAUUUAAACAUGUCUAAACACUCCUUAGAAAUGUUCAUUCGAAUGCAUUUUUGAUCGACUGUUAGCAAACGCGACACUGAUCUCGCUAAAAGCUUUUUCAUGUACAAAUGCUUAUGUAAGAUGUUGUGAACGUGAUCAUUUGAGAUGUUUGCAAUGUCAGCAAGCUCACAGACUUUCACUCGUCGAUCAUUCAACACGGCAUUAUAUUUUUUCAAUGAUUUCAUCAAUCGUAGCGAUUUUUGGGCGACCUAAACAUUCAUCAUCAUUUAUGAAUGUACGAUCACGUUUAAAUUCAGCAGCCCAUUUCUUAACAAUUGAAAAUUGAUGGUGAAGACUCUCUCAAAGAAAUGAAUCAAGUUUGGUUUUUAUUUCUGUUGGUGUUAAACGAAGUAUUUUAUCAUUGCACAAUUCAACUUUAUCCAUUUUGAAAAAAAUCAAAAAUUGUUUGCUUUACACGAUCGAAAUAAAGAAAUUAAUGAACGCAUCUGAAAUUCUGACAGUAGCUCUCUGCAGGAUCAAAAUUGUCAAAAAUUAUAGCACUUUGAUACUUCUGUCGUCAUCUCCAUGUUAGGCCGAGAGCUUCUCGAACUACCCUCGUAUUUGUCAUCAUAAUGUAGUAGUUGUAAAUAUUUAAAUUAUUUCUUGCAGAUUUUGAAGUUUGUAUAUUUGUGUAUUCAUCACAUACAGUUGGAAUGAAUAAAAUAGGAAUUUCAUAUAAUAUUUGAACACAACGUUUGAACAAUGUUACUAAAAGUAACUUUCACAAAUUCUAUUAAUUUGUCAUUUUUGUAAAUGUUUAGGUAUAAUACAAUGUGGUAUUUAGCACCGUUACCGAUACAAAAAUUGCUGCUAUUUGUAAUGCAAAAUUCUAUGAAGGCUCACGCACUACUCCUUGGUGGUAUUUACGUGUCAUGUCUAGAAGGAUUUUCUACGCUUGUAACCACAUCAAUAUCGUACUUUACAGUAAUGUACAGUAUGACGACGAAACAAUAAGAAAAUGUUUAUUCCUUGUAGAAAUUUUAACGUAGAUAAGUUUGAAUAAAUUAAAACUGGAAGAAAUAAUUGAAAAUUCUUAGGUAUGUGAUUGUUUUCUUAAACCCACAAUUGCUUAAAUAAAACAAUUAUUUAAGUAUAAAUGUAAAUAUCUUUACAAUAUUUUACAUACAUCUUAUAAAUAUAUUAUAUAAUAUAUAUCUAAAUUAAAUAUUUCUUAUUAAUGAUUGCAUAAAAUUUUGUUAGAGAGCAAGAGUCAGAGACCAACAUUAAUAUAGUGAAAGUAAAAUUUUAUUUUUAGCGUUUGUGGCACAUCUAGAAAAGAGACUAUAUAGCCGAAAGUGUACUGAUGUAAUUUACUUUAAAGCACGGAAUCAAUAAAUAAAUAUGAUUAAAAA